UGGCAUGUUCUUUAUUUGGCUCAUUUGCGAAGUUCUUUUUGUCAGACAUGCUCAUUCUCAAGACCAUGUUAUUUGAAGGAAGUUUGUCCUUUUCUUUUGCUAGGAAAUCAAUGGCUAAUAAGGUUCUGACAAUUCCAAGGCUUACUUACUAAGAAGUUUACUUUGUCAAAUUCAUUGCUAAAAUGGUCUGUGAAGUUUCUGAAAUCUGAAAUAGGAUUCAAAUGAGUGUUUGAUUAUUUCAUUUUGUCCUAUAAUGUUAAUUUUUGUUUUCCUAUUGAUCAGUCCAAGAAAGAAUGCAACUACUUGAUAAAGCUUGCUACACCUCACAUGGCAAAGUCGACCGUUGUCGAUAGCAAACUGGGAAGAGCAAAGAUAGUAGAAAAACUAGUUGCGGAGCAAAGCUGCAGAGGAGUUUUGAUGCUGUGUUUGCUUUAGAGGCUUGAUGGUAGAGUUGUUGAUGGUCGCGAAAUAACUGCUUAGUUUGCAAAAUUUUAGUGAAUCUGAACAAAAAUAAAGAUUAAAGAGAGAAUGAACUUGAUAUGUGGCUCCAAUGGCCUUUCUUAACUUGGAUUUUAUUUUUUUUGGCUCCAAUGGCCUUGAUUCCUAAUUUCCAGUGUAAUUUGCUGCUAGUGGAAAGAAUGAACUUGAUUUGUGGCUCACAGCCUCACAUCUA